rnacentral:rRNA from 1 species
UAACACAUGCAAGUCGAACGCAGUAGCAAUACUGAGUGGCAGACGGGUGAGUAUAAUGUGGGAAUCUGCCUUUUGGUUCGGAAUAACACGAGGAAACUUGUGCUAAUACCGGAUAAGCCUUCACAGGGAAAGUUUUAAUGCCAAAGAUGGAGCCCGCACCUUGAUAGGCUAGUUGGUUAAGGGUAAUAAGCUUACCAAGGGCAAACGAUUCAAUAGCUGUUCUUAGAGGAAGACCAGCCACCAUUGGGACUGAGACACGGCCCAAACUCCUACGGGAGGCAGCAGUGGGGAAUCUUGCACAAUGGGGGAAACCUGAUGCAGCGAUGCCGCGUGAGUGAAGAAGGCCUUUUGGGUUGUAAAACUCUUUCGUCGGGGAAGAAAAUGACUGUACCCGAAUAAGAAGGUCCGGCUAACUUCGUGCCAGCAGCCGCGGUAAAACGAAGGGACCUAGCGUAGUUCGGAAUUACUGGGCUUAAAGAGCUCGUAGGUGGUUAAAAAAGUUGAUGGUGAAAUCCCAAGGCUCAACCUUGGAACUGCCAUCAAAACUUUUUAGCUAGAGUAUGAUAGAGGAAAGUGGAAUUUCUAAUGUAGAGGUGAAAUUCGUAGAUAUUAGAAAGAACAUCAAAUGCGAGGGCAACUUUCUGGAUCAUUACUGACACUGAGGAGCGAAAGCAUGGGUAGCGAAGAGGAUUAGAUACCCUCGUAGUCCAUGCCGUAAACGAUGUGUGCUAGACGUUGGAAACUUAGUUUCAGUGUCGCAGCGAAAGCAUUAAGCACACCGCCUGGGGAGUACGACCGCAAGGUUAAAACUCAAAUGAAUUGACGGGGACCCGCACAAGUAGUGGGAGCAUGUGGUUUAAUUCGAAGAUACGCGCAGAACCUUACCAACACUUGACAUGUUCGUCGCGAGCCUAAGAGAUUAGGCUUUUCAGCUCGGCUGGACGAAACACAGGUGCUGCAUGGCUGUCGUCAGCUCGUGUCGUGAGAUGUUGGGUUAAGUCCCGCAACGAGCGCAACCCCUAUCUUUAGUUGCCACCAUUUAGUUGGGCACUCUAGAGAGACUGCCAGUGAUAAGCUGGAGGAAGGCGGGGAUGACGUCAAGUCCUCAUGGCCCUUACGUGUUGGGCUACACACGUGCUACAAUGGUACUUACAACGGGAAGCAAAGAUGCAAGUCUAAGCCAAUCCUAAAAAUGUACCUCAGUUCGGAUUGCACUCUGUAACUCGAGUGCAUGAAGCUGGAAUUACUAGUAAUCGCGGAUCAGCGCGCCGCGGUGAAUACGUUCCCGGGUCUUGUACACACCGCCCGUCACACCAUGGAAGUUGGUUACACCUUAAGGCAAAUCGUCAACCCUCGGGAGACAUUUGACUACGGUACGAUCAGCAACUGGGGUG